rnacentral:rRNA from 1 species
AGUCGACGAUGAUCCGGUGCUUGCACCGGGGAUUAGUGGCGAACGGGUGAGUAACACGUGAGUAACCUGCCCUUAACUCUGGGAUAAGCCUGGGAAACUGGGUCUAAUACCGGAUAUGACUCCUCAUCGCAUGGUGGGGGGUGGAAAGCUUUAUUGUGGUUUUGGAUGGACUCGCGGCCUAUCAGCUUGUUGGUGAGGUAAUGGCUUACCAAGGCGACGACGGGUAGCCGGCCUGAGAGGGUGACCGGCCACACUGGGACUGAGACACGGCCCACACUCCUACGGGAGGCAGCAGUGGGGAAUAUUGCACAAUGGGCGCAAGCCUGAUGCAGCGACGCCGCGUGAGGGAUGACGGCCUUCGGGUUGUAAACCUCUUUCAGUAGGGAAGAAGCGAAAGUGACGGUACCUGCAGAAGAAGCGCCGGCUAACUACGUGCCAGCAGCCGCGGUAAUACGUAGGGCGCAAGCGUUAUCCGGAAUUAUUGGGCGUAAAGAGCUCGUAGGCGGUUUGUCGCGUCUGCCGUGAAAGUCCGGGGCUCAACUCCGGAUCUGCGGUGGGUACGGGCAGACUAGAGUGAUGUAGGGGAGACUGGAAUUCCUGGUGUAGCGGUGAAAUGCGCAGAUAUCAGGAGGAACACCGAUGGCGAAGGCAGGUCUCUGGGCAUUAACUGACGCUGAGGAGCGAAAGCAUGGGGAGCGAACAGGAUUAGAUACCCUGGUAGUCCAUGCCGUAAACGUUGGGCACUAGGUGUGGGGGACAUUCCACGUUUUCCGCGCCGUAGCUAACGCAUUAAGUGCCCCGCCUGGAGAGUACGGCCGCAAGGCUAAAACUCAAAGGAAUUGACGGGGGCCCGCACAAGCGGCGGAGCAUGCGGAUUAAUUCGAUGCAACGCGAAGAACCUUACCAAGGCUUGACAUGAACC